AUACUGUUAGACGUGACAAGUUAUAAAAGUAAAAUCCAUAGUAAAGACAGGUGUACCAACAUAUGUACAAUUUUUAAAAUAUGCUCAAGAACAGCAGCACAUACAUGAAAAGGUACAAAAUGUCACAGAUAUAAUUACAGAAAAAGAAAAUACACAACAAAGAGACUCAAAAAACGAUACUUGUGAAUUAGAUAUGAUAACAGAACAAGAAACAAACACAAGGGAUAAAACAUGUACCAAACAAAAUGUAUCAAUAUUAAUGGAUUUAUUAGAAAAAGAAAAGAAAGAAAAGGAA